AACGAACGCUGGCGGCGUGCUUAACACAUGCAAGUCGAGCGGGAAAGUUUCCUUCGGGAAGCGAGUACAGCGGCAGACGGGUGAGUACAACGUAGGUAACCUACCCUCGAGACCGGGAUAACCUGUCGAAAGACGGGCUAAUACCGGAUAAGACCACAAGGGCUGCGGCCUUUGAGGUAAAAGAUGGCCUCUGCUUGCAAGCUAUCACUUGGGGAUGGGCCUGCGCGCCAUUAGCUAGNGGUGAGUAACGCUCACCAAGGCAAGAUGGCUAGCUGGUCCGAGAGGAUGGCCAGCCACACUGGGACUGAGACACGGCCCAGACUCCUACGGGAGGCAGCAGUGGGGAAUAUUGCGCAAUGGGCGAAAGCCUGACGCAGCGACGCCGCGU
rnacentral:rRNA from 1 species